ensembl:lncRNA
CAUUGGGGUGCUAUUAUCACAAUCUGUGUGAGUGUUGCUGUCUAAGCCAGCUGGAGACUCUACAAUUCAAUCCAGUUCUGACACCAGAGAAUUGAGAGCAGAUUCGGCAAAUUAAAGGCUCAGUCUCAAAAGACUGCUUUGCUCGGACACCAGCCACAGGUGGAGUCCCCAGGUGAUCCACACUUCUGUCUUGGCUACAAAUGAAUAAAAGGUGUUAGCAUACGUGGACCGAGAGGAUGAAAGAGGAGACAAAAGUGAAAGAGAGAUUUCAGCAAGUUUCUUGAAGAUGGCAAUUGAGUUGGAGAGGUGGCAAUCGACUUGGCAGAGCCACAUUAAUCGGCUCUGGCUCCUUCUGCAUGCUUGGCAUUAAAGACUGGUUUACAUGAUCAAGUCUAAGCCCCUUGUGAUGGUGUACCUGGUCGGCAUGACCUUCCUGCAUAACUUUUCAAGAUAAAAAUGGAGCAAUGACAUUGAAGAUAAGUCCCAAAGUCCAUCCAAAGAAAGAUUUUCUUUCCACCAGCAGCACACAGAG